rnacentral:lncRNA from 1 species
UGACAGCAAGUGAUCCCCAUGUGACAGAUCUUGACUUGCCUUUCCCUGCUAUUCCUUCUCAUCCAUUAACCAUUCACACAAGCUCCCAGUUAGACUAUGGAAGAGCAUUAAUUGGCAAAGUCACACUCCUUACCAUCUGACAAUAUUGAUGUUACCCCUUCUAUUUUCAGGAAUUACCUACAAAGGAAACUGGAAACUCCAUGGCAUGUCUCUGUCAUCUUUUCCUCCAGAUGGUGCCUCCAAACCACUUCUGAAUGGGUUUGUGCAAAGCAGAACAUGUAAGUACUUCUGCUGGGUUUGAUCUAAGCAUCUCUAAUUUUGGUGAAGAUUUUAUUUCUGGAUGCU